rnacentral:misc_RNA from 1 species
GAUGAAGAACGUAGCGAAAUGCGAUAAGUAAUGUGAAUUGCAGAAUUCAGUGAAUCAUCGAAUCUUUGAACGCACAUUGCGCCCCUUGGUAUUCCGAGGGGCAUGCCUGUUCGAGCGUCAUUAUAACCCCUCAAGCUCAGCUUGGUGUUGGGGCCUGCCGCACGGGCAGCCCUUAAAAUCAGUGGCGGUGCCAUCUGGCUCUAAGCGUAGUAAUUCUUCUCGCUAUAGAGUCCCGGUGGAUGCUUGCCAUUAACCCCCAAUUUUCUAUGGUUGACCUAGGAUCAGGUAGGGAUACCCGCUGAACUUAAGCAUAUCAAUAAGCGGAGGA